rnacentral:rRNA from 1 species
AUUACACAAUAACAUAUGAAGGCUGCUCGCGGCUGGAGUAUUUAUUACCCUUGUCUUUUGCGCACUUGUUGUUUCCUGGGCGGGCUCGCCGCCACCAGGACCACAUACAAACCUUUUUUAUGUAGUUGCAAUCAGCGUCAGUACAACAAAUGUAAAUCAUUUACAACUUUCAACAACGGAUCUCUUGGUUCUGGCAUCGAUGAAGAACGCAGCGAAAUGCGAUACGUAGUGUGAAUUGCAGAAUUCAGUGAAUCAUCGAAUCUUUGAACGCACAUUGCGCCCUUUGGUAUUCCAAAGGGCAUGCCUGUUCGAGCGUCAUUUGUACCCUCAAGCUUUGCUUGGUGUUGGCCGUUUUUUGUCUUUGGCCUGCCCAAAGACUCGCCUCAAAACGAUUGGCAGCCGGCCUCCUGGUUUCGCAGCGCAGCACAUUUUUGCGCUUGCAAUCAGCAAUAGAGGACGGCACUCCAUCAAGACUCGUUUUUAUCACUUUUGACCUCGGA